CGCGUGAGUCCUCCCACCGCCCACGCGUGACAUCCGAAAGAAAAAAAAAUGAAAUAAAUAACGUUACAUGAGCAAGGUGCAGUUCCGCCAGGAGCCGUGAGUGUGUGUGCGCGCGUGAAUGUGUGUGUGGCGUCUGUCUGAAACGUGAACCGCUUGCGUUAGACAUUCAAAACGGGGGAAAUAUCAGCACCACCAUCCUCACCAUCUUCAUCAUCCUCCUUCUGUUCCGCGCGGAAAACCUGUGCGCGCGCCAGCUAAAUUAAAUUAGAGUGGUGAAAUUAUUUGUGCGAGCUGCCUAUGAAGGGGAGGAAGGUGUGACACAGACACUACAGAGUGUGUGUUGUGGUUUGCAUUAGUGUUAAUGCUCUUACUUACUACUCUCUUAAUAAUCAGCCGUGCAAAACUGGAGCAUACAUGUCGUGAUCCGAGAAAAGCAUCGGGUUAUUCUUAUGGAUUAACAUAUGAUCUGAAUUCAACCCAGGUCGAUGUUUAAUGGAUGAGUUCUGGUAAACUAGGGCGAGCAUUUCUUUCACAACAUUCAACAAGUAUUGCUUUGUGCUGCUUUAAUGCUGGUGCGUUCAUGGUGACAUGCAUUGAUUCUUACACCAGCAUUCAUGUGGAAUAACAGGAGCAGCAUUCG
rnacentral:lncRNA from 1 species